UACGUAGGGCGCAAGCGUUGUCCGGAAUUAUUGGGCGUAAAGAGCUCGUAGGUGGCUUGUCACGUCGGGUGUGAAAGCUUGGGGCUUAACUCCAGGUCUGCAUUCGAUACGGGCUGGCUAGAGGUAGGUAGGGGAGAACGGAAUUCCUGGUGUAGCGGUGAAAUGCGCAGAUAUCAGGAGGAACACCGGUGGCGAAGGCGGUUCUCUGGGCCUUACCUGACGCUGAGGCACGAAGGUCAGGGGAGCAAACGGG
rnacentral:rRNA from 1 species